rnacentral:lncRNA from 1 species
UGUUGUUGCUAAAAUCGAUUAGAGUCGGAAGGCGAACAUCUAAAAAUCUCGUGCAAGGAUGCUGGCGCUGGAUUGAUCUGUAAAAUAAAUUUUAAAUCGGAGGUUGUGGCUCCGACGAGGAUCCUCCGAUGCUCAAGUCAAAAAAAUAGAGAUAAGAGAGCAGCAACGGAUUCUCUAAAAGAGAAUUAAUUGGACUUACUUAGAUCCUCAGGGCUCUGAUUGUUUCUAUAAAAAGAUGUUGGACAGUUGGAUUGUU